rnacentral:rRNA from 1 species
AACGAACGCUGGCGGCAUGCCUAACACAUGCAAGUCGAACGAAGCCUUCGGGCUUAGUGGCGCACGGGUGCGUAACGCGUGGGAAUCUGCCCCUUGCUUCGGAAUAACAGUUAGAAAUGACUGCUAAUACCGGAUGAAGUCUUCGGACCAAAGAUUUAUCGGCAAGGGAUGAGCCCGCGUAGGAUUAGGUAGUUGGUGGGGUAAAGGCCUACCAAGCCGACGAUCCUUAGCUGGUCUGAGAGGAUGAUCAGCCACACUGGGACUGAGACACGGCCCAGACUCCUACGGGAGGCAGCAGUGGGGAAUAUUGGACAAUGGACGCAAGUCUGAUCCAGCAAUGCCGCGUGAGUGAUGAAGGCCUUAGGGUUGUAGAGCUCUUUUACCAGGGAUGAUAAUGACAGUACCUGGAGAAUAAGCUCCGGCUAACUCCGUG